rnacentral:lncRNA from 1 species
UUUUUUUCAUGAGAGACAGGGAGGCAGAGACACAGGCAGAAGGAGAAGCAGGCUCCAUGCAGGGAGCCUGAUGUGGGACUGUAUCCUGGGACCCAGGAUCAUGCCCUGAACCGAAGGGAGACACUCAACCACUGAGCCACCCAGGCAGUCCUAGUGGCCAUUUCUAAGAACCAGAUCACAGAUGGAGCUGUUUCUCCUGCCAAUCUGCCCGCAGGCCCACCAGGGAUGCGGUCCACCCUUCUGGCCAAGAAUAAGUCACACACAGAUUUCCACAACAUUCUUUAAAAAUAUAUGUGUAUCUCAUGCUAGCAAUAGUGUCUGGCUCCAAAAGAAAAGUCAGAUAAGGAAAUCAGCCAACAGGUAGGCAUUCAUUAGGUGAACAAGUAUAUGCAAGACUACAUAUAGGAAAAGCACACUUUGCAAUUCCUCACCUCAAAGAGCCUACAGUUUAAUUUGGAGUCAUAACAUCCCACAGCGCAGACAUCCCCACACACUUCACAUACUUAAGAGCAGCGCAAGUUUGAGAAUUCCAGGUAACAUUUGACCUACCAGACAAUGCAAAAACCUUCUGGGGCAAAAAAAUUUGAGAAAAACGAUUGGCAUACUUUUAUAUUUUUUUUUCACCUGAUGGUCCAGAUAACCAGAAAGCCCUAUUGCUACCAAAUACCUAGAAAUUCUAGAUAAAAUAUUAAAAAGCCCUGCCUAAUGCCGAGGGGAGCAAACAAGAAAAUUAAGACAUGUUACAGGAGCCAAGAAUAGGAAUGGAAACAUAAGGAUAAAACACUGUAGAAAAUCAACAAGCAGACUUGUAAUAUGAUGAAGUAGUUUUCCUGAAAGCUAAAAAUAAAGUCAAUGAAAUGAAAAACUUGAUGGUUAAGUUGUAGAUGACAGACUAAACAUGGCUGAAGAGAUAAUAAGGGAACUGGAGCUAGAUCUGAGAAACUUUGCAAAAAUGUAGCCUUGAGAAGCUGAAAACAUGAAAAAUUAAAGAGUAAGAGACUGGGGAGAGACUAAAGGGUCCUACAUACAUGCACCUACAGACCUAGAGGGAGAGAACAGAGGAAGGUGAGUAGACAACAGGAGGAAAGGUAACAGCUAUGAUUUUCUAGAACAGAGGAAACAGAUCUUGCUAACUAGAAAGCACAAGUAAGACAAUUUAAAAAAAACCACACCUCAACACUUCAUGACAAAUUGCAAAACAUCCAAGACAAACAGAAGUCUUUGGGGAAAAAAAAAGAAAGAAAGACGGGAGAAAGUAGACAAAUAUGUUCAAAAUAUUAAGAGAAAAUACAUGGCUUGGGGCACUUGGGUGGUGCAGUCAAUUAAGCAUCUGCCUUCGGCUCAGGUCAUGGUCCUGGGGUCCUGGGAUCAAGCCCAGCAUCAGGCUCCCUGCUCAGUGGGAAGUCAGCUUCUCCCUCUCCCUCUGCUGUUUCCCUGCUUGUGCUGUCAAAUAAAUAAAGAAAGAAAGAAAAUACACAGCUAAAUUCUUGCUCAAAAGUGACAGUAAGGGGCACCUGGCUGGUUCGGUCAGUAGAGCACACAAUUCUUGAUCUUGAGGUUGUAAGUUCAAGCCCCACAUUGGGUGUUUAGAUGAUCUAAAAAUAAAAUCUUUUUUUUCAAGGAUUUUAAUUUAUUUAUUCAUGAGAGACACACAGAGAGAGAGGCAGAGACAUAGGCAGAGGGAGUAUGGGGAGCCUGAUGCAAGACUCGAUCCCAGGACCCCAGGAUCACAACCUGAGCUGAAGGGAGAUGCUCAACCACUGAGCCACCCAGGUGCCUCUAAAAAUGAAACCUUAAAAAAAAUUCUUUUUAAGUGAAGGUAAAAUAAAGACAUUUUCCAACAAAGUGUGUACCACUGAUACCCUCUGUGAGGGGAUUGCUUAAAGGAUGUAUUUUAGGAAGAAAAUAGAACCCAGAACAAAGAACAAUGCAAAGCCACAUAGGAAGUAAAGAUGUCAGCAAAACUCUGGAUAAAUCUAAACAAGCAUUGACAGCAUACAGAAAUAAUAAUUUUUGAAAAAUAAUAAUUAGCUGAAGGGAUAUAAAAGAGGAAAGUGGAACUAAAAUGCUUGGCAACAUGAACAUGUCAGAUGGACAGUGUGAUCAGAGUUACAGCUUCCCAAAGCUCUUACAUUGUUUGGGAGGAGGCUAGGGAUUUUGUCAAGUCAAGUAUGCUAAUGCCCACACAUUAAUUUUAAAAGAUAAUUAAAAGGAAAAAUAGAAUACGUAAUUUCCAAACCUGUAGAGAUGAUAAAAGUGAAUAUAGAAAUCUCAAGAACUUCAGGUUAAAAACAAUAGAUUAAACCACUGUUCUCUCUCUGCUUCCUCCUGGAAACACUUUAAAGAUAAUAUUGACACAAAUAAGUGAGUUUAGCAAGGUUGCAAGAUAAAUGACCACUAUACAAAAAAUCGUGUGUAUUUCUAAAUGCUAGCAUUGGAACUUGGAAUUUUAAAAAACACUAUUUACAAUAGCACCAAAAAAUAUGAAAUGCAUUUUAAAAAUGUGAUAAAAGAUGUAUAAGACCUGUAAACGGAAAACUACAAAACACUGCUGAGAGAAAUCAAAGACCACCAAAAAAAUGGAGAGAUAG